rnacentral:misc_RNA from 1 species
GACUUAGUUUGGUUUAAGGGUGGGAACCAAGCAAGGGCUGCACGUUGACAAGCAGUAAAGUCUUGUGGAGUGACACUUGGUAUCAGAGCCUUGGUUAUAUCAAUUGGGGGAAUUUGUGACCAUUACUAGCAAGGAUGCUGAAGCUAGCAACCUCUCAGAGGUGCAAGAGGAGAGGGGGCGUGAGAAGGCCCAUCUAUAGCCAAAGAGGCAUGGGAAAUCGAAGGAAACUCUAUGGGAUGCUGCUGCCAUUUCUACGGAUAUGGUGGAGGACUUUGAGGCAAAGCUGGCGAAGUUGGAAUUGGCCAUGGCUGACGUUCUGGAGACUCUUAACUCUUAAGUAGGAGGAGCAAGAGACUAUGAAGAAGGAGGUUGAGGGGGCAUUGUAGGGUGCUCUUAAUGUGUUAAUUGAUUUAAUGAACAAGACUAUGAAGGAAUUUCGAAACACUGUUGCUACGGAAAUUCAGUCCUGCAUGAGGAGUUGCUGGAAGCCAAGGGAGAGAUUAAUUUAUGUAAGGCUGCCUUCUCUACUGGUGCUAUAACUACUGCUGCUUCGAAGAUCAAAGUCCUAGAGCCAUCGAAAUUUGGAGGUAAGCGUGAUGUUAAGGAGCUUGAUAAUUUUAUUUGGCAAAUGGAAAGAUACUUGGGUGCUUUAAAUUUAGUUGAUGAUGCUUUACAAAUUAGCACUGAUACUCUCUAUCUUGAGAAUGAUGUUGCCCUAUGGUGGAGGUAUCUUUAUGAGGAGAUGUAAUGGGAGCAAGCUGAAAUUCAUACUUGGGAGGCAUUCAAGGGGAUCUGAAGAAACAAUUUUGCCCCGAAAAUACUAAGGAGUUGGCAAUGAAGAAGUUGCGAUCUCUUAAGCAUACGGGGAUUCUUAAAGAAUAUAUUCGGGAGUACUCUUCCUUGACGCUGGAG